rnacentral:lncRNA from 1 species
AUGGAUUGGAAGUAUAUCAGAUCCUGCAAAACAUCUCUUUUGGAGGAAGGACAAGGUGCACUUAUACAGCAGCCUGGAAAUGCUUGUUUUGCUUCUGGGUUAUACAGAUUUCAGCUUCCAGAGUUGAUAAGCCUGAACCUUUUGUGGUGGUGGGACCCUCUUCUAGUAUGUGAUCUACAACGAGCUACACUGAAUCAUACGAUGACAAUGUUAUCACUGCCACAUCUCUGGAAACCUGUUAUUCAUAAUUAUACGUAUAUUCCCAGUGGAGCACCUCAUUCAGUUUGGCAGGAAAGAUGA